UUACCGAGCCACGAUGUGCAAUAAGCACCGAAAUGGUAAGUUAAUCGUGAUAUUUUACUGUAGUUGCGCUCGUGGAAUGAAAGAGACAAGAAUUUACACAAACAAAAUGCAUUUGUUUUCCUCGUUUGCUUUAUGCGUUGAUUUUGUUCACUUCUGUACAACAUCUAAUCGCUGGAAGAGUCUUUUGUGUAAACAUUUAUUAAAAAAGUGGAAAAGAAUUAAUAAAUAAAUCAAAUUAAUAUAAACAGUUAGCGUUGUGCAGGAAAGAUAACAGAUAACAGCAAUGAAAUCGAUUCUCCAGCCAGCUGGCGUUUUGAGCGGCUUAAACUUUAUUUUGAGUGAGGAAAUUGUUCUAGCCUAUAACGUAAGGGAAGAAGGCCCUUAGGACCCACAAAGAAUUUUUUGCAGCUUUGCUAGAAUGUAUUCCGCCUGGCGAUGAGCCCCCCGAAAACACUGUGCGGAAGGCAAUGCAAAGGAUGAAGAAAAGGGUGUUUAA